rnacentral:rRNA from 1 species
GUCCUUUUGAUUUUUAUUUAAGGUCUGACCUGCCCACUGAUUUAUUUAAUGGCCGCGGUAUUUUGACCGUGCAAAGGUAGCAUAAUAAUUUGUCUUUUAAUUGAAGGCUUGUAUGAAUGGUUGGACGAGAAAAUUACUUUCUUUAUAAUAUAAUUAUUAAUUUUAUUUUUUAGUUAAAAAGCUAAAAUUUUGUUGUAGGACGAGAAGACCCUAUAGAACUUUAUAUUUAUUUUUAUAUUAAUAUUUUUGGUUUAUUAUAUAUUAUAUUUUUAUAAUUAUUUUGUUGGGGCGACAAGAAAAUUUAUUUAACUUUUUUUUAUUAAUUUCAUUAAUUAAUGUAUAAAUGAUCCUUUAAUAUGGAUAAUUAGAAUAAGUUACCUUAGGGAUAACAGCGUAAUUUUUUUGGAGAGUUCUUAUCGAUAAAAAAGUUUGCGA